ensembl:lncRNA
GUUAGAUUAAGAAACUACAGGAUUUCAGCUCCCAUGGUGGGAGGAUGAAUGGAGUCAAGUGCAGAGAGGGCCAGCAUAAACUUGAAGUCCAUGUCUAGAGAUAUUUUCACAUCCAAAAGUACCAGAGGUGUGCUGGACCCUCACCAGUCAUUUCCUUGGACUCAGGAGUAUAUUGUCACUGAGGGAAGAGGAAACUUACCUAAUUUCCACCACUGGAUGGUGGUCUAAGUGACUGAUGGAUUGGAAGUUAUGUUUUUUGUAGGUAGGCUGCAGUCAACAACUCCAGUGCAGAAUGGACCCUGAAGAGGAAUUCAAGCACCAACAGAGCCUAUGCAACCACAUCUUGUAUAUAAUUCAUCCGCAUGGUCACAGAUAGAAAGUGAAGAUCAACCACAAUGACUUCAAAUGGGACUCCAUUCUGCAGAUGCUUAUCUUCAGAUCUCAGCCUUGACAUGAUUUGCAAUAGUGCAGACAAAGACUGUAGCCUGCAGUCAACAACUCCAGUGCAGAAUGGACCCUGAAGAGGAAUUCAAGCACCAACAGAGCCUAUGCAACCACAUCUUGUAUAUAAUUCAUCUGCAUGGUCACAAAUAGAAAGUGAAGAUCAACCACAAUGACUUCAAAUGGGACUCUAUUCUGCAGAUGCUUAUCUUCAGAUCUCAGCCUGGACAUGAUUUGCAAUAGUGCAGACAAAGACUAUAUUUAAACAAUUUUAGAGUUAUGGAGGUUUGCUGUGACGUAUGGAGGUUGAUAAAGCAGAACUGAGUUCCCUGACCUGGGUGAUACUUCUUUCUGAAAGAAAUUUCUAAGAAAAAAAUGGAGAAAAGAACCUGGUCACACAGGCCAGAAGACUCUGAAGGACUCCCAAGACUGCUGGUUAAUUCUAGCCUGAUUCUCAGCAAAGUCACAAUAUUCAGACUUCCAAUUAAGAAACAUGGGUGGUUUUAACACCACCUUCUGAAGAUUAUACCUAUAUAACAUGUCUGCAGAGACCUCAGAAAGAUAAACAUGAAUAUGCUGCCUCAAAUCUUUUCACCACAGUGCUGAUGUGUAGAUGAAGAUCUGGGUUUUAAUUUUCUGUCAGCUUCAUCUGGGAUAAAAAAAUAUGACAUCCAAGGAUCCUCCAUGAAGAGCCACCAAGAAAGUCUUCACCUACAGAGCUUCCUUCUACACCCUCAUGGAAGGAUUCCCUGUGCUCCUAGUAGCACCCACCACUAAACUCAAGCCUACCACCAUCCAGAAAGGACUCGCCCAGUGGGACCAGCUGGAGCUCCACCCCAUCCCCCAUCCCCGGCCUAGAUCCAGCCUCUGAGCCUCCAUUUCAUUCUCAGCUCUUCUGAGGCAUUCCAGGGGUGACUGGAUGCCCAAGAGCCUGAGAACCAGAUGGCUCCGGCGUCUUUGCAGACUUGGGACCUGACCUGAGAGCCAGCUCGGGCUGUUUCCAGUACUCAGACUAUGCUUCCCCACCCCAGAGGGGUGUCCCACAGCUUUCCACAGCUCAACACCGGCCUGGUGACAGCAUGGAGUAGUGUGAUCAAACUUCCUGCAUCCAGCCUUCCAGAGACUAAUCCUACAGCAUCUCAGUUGUUUGAUUUUCAUUUCCCUGAUGAUUAAGCAUGUUGAACAUUUCUUUAAGUGCUUCUUGGAUAUUCAAGAUUACUCAGUUGAAAAUUUUCUGUUUAAUUUUGUAACAUUUUUUUAAAUUCGAUUAUUUGUUGUUUUGGUGUCUAACCUUUUGAUUCUUUAUAUAUAUUUGAUAUUAGCCCUUUGUCAGAUAGCGAUUUGGUGAAGAUCUUUUCUCAUGUUUAGGCUACUGUUUUGUCUUCUUUAGAGUAUCUAUUGCCUUACAGAAGCUUUCAGUUUUAUGAAGUUAUGAUUAUCAACUAUCAAUGUUAGAGCCCUAGCCAUUGUUCUCUUCAAUAAAAUUUCUCCUAUGCCAAUGUGUUGAAGGAUUUUCUCACUUUUUUCUAUUAAAUUCAGCAUGCUUAGCUGCAUGUAGAAUUCCUAGAUCCACUUGGACAUUAGCUUUGUGGAGGAUAAUAAAUAUGAUUUAUUUAUUUAUGAGUUUUUCUAUAUGCAGACUCAAAAGGACAUGAAUAUGUUAUCACUGAUAAGUGGAUAUUAGACAAAAAACUACAGAAUACAUAUUAUACACCAAACAGUGCCAAAGAAGUUAAACAAAAAAGAAGAUUCAAGUGAGGACGCUUGAAUCCCACAUAAAAAGGGAAACAAAAUAGUCUGGUAGGCAGAGGAAGUCAGGAACCUGGGUGUGAAGGGAAAUGUAGGGACAGGAUCAGGUAUUUGGAGAGAGGCCCAGAGAAGGAAUGAAAGAAAUGAAUGAAAAUAUGCAGCUUAUGGGGAUAGGAGUACUAUCUGGAAAGUCACAGAAACAUGGGUUGGGGGAGACUUCAAUUAGUCAAUGUGAGUAACCAUAUCCAAAAUGCACAAGAGUUGGGAUAUGGAACUUGGAGAGAUCACCACCAGCAGCCAAAUAAGACCCCUAAUAGAGGGAUGGAACAGCAACCCACCUACAAAACUUUAAACUCAAAAUUGGUUCUGUUUUACAAAAAAGGUAUGGAUAGGGAUGACGUAAUGAAGACUGGAAGAAUGACCAAACAGUGACUGGCCCAACUUGAGACUCAUCUCAGGGACAUGUCUCAUUGAUCCCAUUGGUCCCACGGUACCAAUCCUUGAUUCUGUAAGUGAUAAUAUGUUGUGCUUGUAGACAUAGCACAUCUGUCCUCUGAGAGCCUCUACCCUGCAGCUGACUGAGGCAGAUGAAGAUAUCCAGAACCAUACAUUGGAUGGAGGUUAGGGCACUUUAUAGAAGAGUUACACGACAGGAUUUAAGACCCUGGAGAUGAUGAUAACCCCAGAGAAAGACCAAUAUUGUCAACUAACCUGAUCACCUGGUAACUUCCAGAUUGUGAGCCACCAACAAAAGCAUACAUGGGUUGCUCAGAAACUGGGACACCUAUGUAACAGACAGCCAUUUUGUCUGGCCUCACUGAGAGAUGAUGUGCCUAAUCAUUUAGAGACUUGAUGCACCAGGGUGUGGGAAUACCCAGGGAAGGGCUGUAAGAUAAUGUCAUUAUGCAGCAGGCAGGUACAGGACAAACUAUCAUUGGAUGUGAAGGAAGGGUAGGCAGAGAAAGUCUAGGAAGGAGGAGGAAAGAGGAAGGGGUGGAAGAUGGAGACAGAGAAAGAGGAUGAUUCUGAUCUAG